rnacentral:rRNA from 1 species
GGAGGGUGCAAGCGUUAUCCGGAAUCAUUGGGGUUUAAAGGGGUCUGUAGGCGGGCAUAUAAGUCAGUGGGUGAAAGUCUGUGGGCUUAACCAUAGAAUUGCCAUUGAUACUGUAUGUCUUGAAUUAUUGUGAAGUGGUUAGAAUAUGUAGUGUAGCGGUGAAAUGCUUAGAGAUUACAUAGAAUACCGAUUGCGAAGGCAGAUCACUAACAAUAUAUUGACGCUGAUGGACGAAAGCGUAGGUAGCGAACAGGAUUAGAUACCCUGGUAGUCUACGCCGUAAACGAUGGAUACUAGUUGUUUGGUUUUCGGACUGAGUGACUAAGCGAAAGUGAUAAGUAUCCCACCUGGGGAGUACGUUCGCAAAGAAUG